AUUGAACGCUGGCGGCAGGCCUAACACAUGCAAGUCGAACGGUAACAGGAAACAGCUUGCUGUUUCGCUGACGAGUGGCGGACGGGUGAGUAAUGUCUGGGAAACUGCCUGAUGGAGGGGGAUAACUACUGGAAACGGUAGCUAAUACCGCAUAACGUCGCAAGACCAAAGAGGGGGACCCUCGGGCCUCUUGCCAUCGGAUGUGCCCAGAUGGGAUUAGCUUGUUGGUGGGGUAACGGCUCACCAAGGCGACGAUCCCUAGCUGGUCUGAGAGGAUGACCAGCCACACUGGAACUGAGACACGGUCCAGACUCCUACGGGAGGCAGCAGUGGGGAAUUUUGCACAAUGGGCGCAAGCCUGAUGCAGCCAUGCCGCGUGUAUGAAGAAGGCCUUCGGGUUGUAAAGUACUUUCAGCGGGGAGGUAGGGAGUAAAGUUAAUACCUUUGCUCAUUGACCGUUUUCCGUUGAAGAGCACCCGGUUUUCCCUGCCAACCCUCAUUUGAUUACCG
rnacentral:rRNA from 1 species